GACGUGCUAAUCUGCGAUAAGCGUCGGUAAGGUGAUAUGAACCGUUAUAACCGGCGAUUUCCGAAUGGGGAAACCCAGUGUGUUUCGACACACUAUCAUUAACUGAAUCCAUAGGUUAAUGAGGCGAACCGGGGGAACUGAAACAUCUAAGUACCCCGAGGAAAAGAAAUCAACCGAGAUUCCCCCAGUAGCGGCGAGCGAACGGGGAGCAGCCCAGAGCCUGAAUCAGUGUGUGUGUUAGUGGAAGCGUCUGGAAAGGCGCGCGAUACAGGGUGACAGCCCCGUACACAAAAAUGCACAUGCUGUGAGCUCGAUGAGUAGGGCGGGACACGUGGUAUCCUGUCUGAAUAUGGGGGGACCAUCCUCCAAGGCUAAAUACUCCUGACUGACCGAUAGUGAACCAGUACCGUGAGGGAAAGGCGAAAAGAACCCCGGCGAGGGGAGUGAAAAAGAACCUGAAACCGUGUACGUACAAGCAGUGGGAGCCUCUUUUAUGGGGUGACUGCGUACCUUUUGUAUAAUGGGUCAGCGACUUAUAUUCUGUAGCAAGGUUAACCGAAUAGGGGAGCCGAAGGGAAACCGAGUCUUAACUGGGCGUUAAGUUGCAGGGUAUAGACCCGAAACCCGGUGAUCUAGCCAUGGGCAGGUUGAAGGUUGGGUAACACUAACUGGAGGACCGAACCGACUAAUGUUGAAAAAUUAGCGGAUGACUUGUGGCUGGGGGUGAAAGGCCAAUCAAACCGGGAGAUAGCUGGUUCUCCCCGAAAGCUAUUUAGGUAGCGCCUCGUGAAUUCAUCUCCGGGGGUAGAGCACUGUUUCGGCAAGGGGGUCAUCCCGACUUACCAACCCGAUGCAAACUGCGAAUACCGGAGAAUGUUAUCACGGGAGACACACGGCGGGUGCUAACGUCCGUCGUGAAGAGGGAAACAACCCAGACCGCCAGCUAAGGUCCCAAAGUCAUGGUUAAGUGGGAAACGAUGUGGGAAGGCCCAGACAGCCAGGAUGUUGGCUUAGAAGCAGCCAUCAUUUAAAGAAAGCGUAAUAGCUCACUGGUCGAGUCGGCCUGCGCGGAAGAUGUAACGGGGCUAAACCAUGCACCGAAGCUGCGGCAGCGACGCUUAUGCGUUGUUGGGUAGGGGAGCGUUCUGUAAGCCUGUGAAGGUGUGCUGUGAGGCAUGCUGGAGGUAUCAGAAGUGCGAAUGCUGACAUAAGUAACGAUAAAGCGGGUGAAAAGCCCGCUCGCCGGAAGACCAAGGGUUCCUGUCCAACGUUAAUCGGGGCAGGGUGAGUCGACCCCUAAGGCGAGGCCGAAAGGCGUAGUCGAUGGGAAACAGGUUAAUAUUCCUGUACUUGGUGUUACUGCGAAGGGGGGACGGAGAAGGCUAUGUUGGCCGGGCGACGGUUGUCCCGGUUUAAGCGUGUAGGCUGGUUUUCCAGGCAAAUCCGGAAAAUCAAGGCUGAGGCGUGAUGACGAGGCACUACGGUGCUGAAGCAACAAAUGCCCUGCUUCCAGGAAAAGCCUCUAAGCAUCAGGUAACAUCAAAUCGUACCCCAAACCGACACAGGUGGUCAGGUAGAGAAUACCAAGGCGCUUGAGAGAACUCGGGUGAAGGAACUAGGCAAAAUGGUGCCGUAACUUCGGGAGAAGGCACGCUGAUAUGUAGGUGAAGCGACUUGCUCGUGGAGCUGAAAUCAGUCGAAGAUACCAGCUGGCUGCAACUGUUUAUUAAAAACACAGCACUGUGCAAACACGAAAGUGGACGUAUACGGUGUGACGCCUGCCCGGUGCCGGAAGGUUAAUUGAUGGGGUCAGCGCAAGCGAAGCUCUUGAUCGAAGCCCCGGUAAACGGCGGCCGUAACUAUAACGGUCCUAAGGUAGCGAAAUUCCUUGUCGGGUAAGUUCCGACCUGCACGAAUGGCGUAAUGAUGGCCAGGCUGUCUCCACCCGAGACUCAGUGAAAUUGAACUCGCUGUGAAGAUGCAGUGUACCCGCGGCAAGACGGAAAGACCCCGUGAACCUUUACUAUAGCUUGACACUGAACAUUGAGCCUUGAUG
rnacentral:rRNA from 1 species